rnacentral:lncRNA from 1 species
CAGAUUUGACCUGUGCCUGGGAAUCUCCAAAGAAAUAUUUCUUCAUGAGGAUUGUUCCUUUCUCAUCCAGAGCCCGAGUGGACAGUAUUCAGAAAGAAUUAUUGGCACUGGUUUGGCUCACAAGAGACCAAGAUACUUAUGAGGAUGCAGAUUUGCUAAAUGAAAAGCAACAUAACAUCUGAAAGUUGACCACAGGUAUCACAUAUACCUAUUCUGUGACGUGCCUUAGAACUUUAAUAGGAAUGAUUAUAAUAGAAUUUCAUGCAAAUCUCUGCAAAAUUUGUCUGUCUAGGUGCCCUGAUACUAAUGCCAGAAGGUUAAUAUUAUUUUUCACCUGGUAUGUGUUCUUGUGAUUUUCUAAAUGGUGCCAUUUGCACCAAUGAUUUUUUGUUAUCACGUUAUCCUUGGA